AUUUUGUCCCCUCCCCCCGUUGCCAGGCAACCGACGCCAUUUCGUCCUGCCCCGCCGGGCUGCCCGCACUGCGCAUGCGCGCUCGCCGGCCUCCCAUUGGCUCCCGCCCCGCGGCUUCAAACGGUCCGGCGGGAGCGAUGGCGGCGGAGGCUGCGGCCGGAAUUUUUUUUUCUCUAGGAAAUAUGUCCUUUCACUUCCAUGACUUGAGAUUCUUUUUGUGAGGUUCAGUUUACCAUUACCAUCAUGGCAUUGCCCAUUGGCUCAAGAGUUAGAAGUCCUUUCCCAGUGCACUGCGUAUAUUGGAACAUGGUAGGGCAAGUAUUUUUUGUUCAGAAUUUGACAUAUGAAAUCACUCCUAGCACAGAAGGGACGUUUACAUCUGCACUCCGAAUGUGAAAAAAAAAAAAGAAAAAAAAAAGGUGGGUGACAAAAAGGACUUUUAGUUUAGUUUUGCUUUUGCUAGACAGCAUCCUCUCCCUCGUGAUGCCCAAGCAGUGCUCUCUGAAGUCAGAAAUCCUGAGCAUUUCUGCUGCACUCACAGUGAAUGGCUGUGAGAGCUGGCUGUGGGAGGGACCCCACGCUGGAGCAGGGGCAGAGAGAGACCAUGAACUUUCUUAGUUCUCAUUUAGUUUCUCACUGCUCCAGUCUACCAGUAGCACUCAAUAAAUUAUGCUCGUCUUCCUAGAGUGAGUCUGCUUUGCCCAUGUCUGAAAUUGGUAAGGGCUCUGCCUGUUCCUUAAAUGUACCCUGAAGCCCUUUUCCACGCUAUUUAGUCCAUCUGUUCCUUUGAUGGGGAGCAGGUCAAAGAACAGUGUGCUGCCCAUCAGUGUGCUGGAUCUAGGGAGCUUUCAAGAUGGAAAAAAAAAA